GGUGGGGGGUUAACCGAAAUCGGGGGGGUUGGGGGCGUUUUUUGGGGGCGGGGUUGGUGGUGGGGUGGGAAAUGACGUGGUGGGACCCCAAAUUACGUGGUGGUGGGACUCCAUUCCACAUGGUAGGACUCCAACCCCUCGUGGUGGGACCCCAAAUUACGUGGUGGGUCAACAAAUAAUGUGGUGGGACCCCAAAUUACGUGGUGGGACACCAACCUACGUGGUGGUGGGACUCCAUUCCACAUGGUAGGACUCCAACCCCACGUGGUGGGUCACCAAAUUACGUGGUGGGUUGCCAAAUUACGUGGUGGGACCCCAAAUUACGUGGUGGGACCCCAAAUUACGUGGUGGGACACCAGCCUACGUGGUGGUGGGACUCCAUUCCACAUGAUAGGACUCCAACCCCACGUGGUGGGACCCCAAACUAGGUGGUGGGACCCCAAACUAGGUGGUGGGACCCCAAAUCACAUGGAGGAACUCCUAAUUACGUGGUGGGACCCCAAAUUACAUGGUGGUGGGACACCAACUGACAUGUUGGGACACCAAAUUACGUGGUGGGACACCAACCUAUGUGGUGGGACCCCAUCCCCACGUGGUGGGCCACCAACCUGCGUGCUUGGCGAUGCUCUUGCCGAGGGGCUCGGGGAGGUCCUCGUGCUGCACGGUGCAGGUG
rnacentral:lncRNA from 1 species